GACGAACGCUGGCGGCGUGCUUAACACAUGCAAGUCGAACGGAAAGGCCCCUUUGGGGGUACUCGAGUGGCGAACGGGUGAGUAACACGUGAGUAACCUGCCCUUGACUUCGGGAUAACUUCAGGAAACUGGGGCUAAUACCGGAUAGGAAUCCUUGCUGCAUGGUGGGGGUUGGAAAGCUUCGGCGGUUUUGGAUGGACUCGCGGCUUAUCAGCUUGUUGGUGGGGUAGUGGCUUACCAAGGCUUUGACGGGUAGCCGGCCUGAGAGGGCGACCGGCCACAUUGGGACUGAGAUACGGCCCAGACUCCUACGGGAGGCAGCAGUGGGGAAUAUUGCACAAUGGGCGGAAGCCUGAUGCAGCAAUGCCGCGUGCGGGAUGACGGCCUUCGGGUUGUAAACCGCUUUCAGCAGGGGCGAAGCUUGUGGUGACGGUACCUGCAGAAGAAGCACCGGCUAACUACGUG
rnacentral:rRNA from 1 species